CUUCAUUAUCAUAUUUCAGGUCAUAAAUUCCUCCUGGCAUUUUAAUUUUUAUUUUGUUUUAUUAACUAAUUUCGCUUCGUUUCAUCCAUUCAUGUCAUCAUUUAUCUUUUCGUUAUAGUGGGUCCCGAGUAGAUCUGAAACAACCAAGGCACAUAAGAAUUCACUCAAAGCAAGGUUUUUAUUGAAUUUUCAGUGAAACUGACCAGUCAGGGACCUCAGUACAGACUGGGAAGCUGACUGAGUCUCAGAAUACUCACUCAGGAGGGGAUUUAAGCAAGAAAACCACAAAUAUCUGUGCCAACCCACACAGGAUACAAGUUCUGCAGUAGAUUUGAUGCUGUUGCUGUUCAAAAGGACUCUUGGGCAGAUGUUACAUUUUUAAGCUCUUACCCAGACCUGUGCUUCAGCCCUGCGGGGUGUCCAGUCACCCAGCUUGGUUAAUGGUGAAGGCUUGGGUGCAGCAGGAAGUGUGGCUGUGCCCCAAGAAGUUCUGACACAAAUGGACAAAGUCCCGGGUUGUUGCUGCGUGGAUGCUGUCAAUGUCACUGAUCCCUUAUUUUAGUCCCCACUGAAGAUGGCUGCAAAAUGAGGGUCAAAUUCGAAGGACCAGACAUUUGCAGAUCCCUAGGACAAGAAGGCACUGAGUUUCUGGUCAGGUACCGGUGACAAGCGAUUUAGCCAGAGCCUGGCCACUGGAUUUCUCAGUGGCACAGAUUUCUCUCUGCAAUUGUGGCUCCUAGAGUUUUCUAAGAUUACCCGGUGCAGCAACACUACCCCUUUGCUGAAGGCUUCUUUUUUCUUUUUUCUUUUUUCUUUUUGGGUUCCGUGGCCUCCCUGGCCCCCAGCGAGGCUGUUUCUGGACUAUGCUGUGCACUGUGCGAUUUCAGCAGGGCACAGGCUUGGCCCUGGCUGAUAUGCAGUGCACCACAGCGGGAAGCCCAGACCUCAGGUGCUCAGCACAUUGGCCAGUGAGAUCGGGCUGAGGUCCCCAGUUGGUGGAGAAAUCCGGUUUUGUUGGCCUUCUGGAGGGAAUUCAUUGCUUAUGGCUCUGUCAGUCCUGGAUCCUGUCCUUCAGUCUUUGGCACCAGGGAGCCUUAGAGAAUAUGGGGACCCUUUGGGCUACUGCUCCCUGCAAAGCAUGCUUCCUUUCCGAACGCCUUCGUUUCAAAAUAAAAACGCACUGACAACUGUC